UGGUGAUCAUAUGACUGACGGAACAAGUGGAAGACCACGUGGAGUAUGAUCGAUAACCGGCCGACCGUCUGGGCAGAAAAA
rnacentral:ncRNA from 2 species